rnacentral:rRNA from 1 species
GAAGGUGUGCCGAGAGGCAUGCUGGAGGUAUCGGAAGUGCGAAUGCUGACAUGAGUAACGAUAAGGAGGGUGAAAAACCCUCCCGCCGAAAGCCCAAGGUUUCCUCGCGCAACGUUAAUCGGCGCAGGGUGAGUCGGCUCCUAAGGCGAGGCCGAAAGGCGUAGUCGAUGGGAAGCAGGUUAAUAUUCCUGCACCAGGUGUUACUGCGAUGGAGAGACGGAGAAGGCUAGGUGCGCCGGGCGUUGGUUGUCCCGGUCCAAGCAUGUAGGAAGAGUCCUUUGGCAAAUCCGGGAACUCAAUUCCAAGGUGUGAUGGGGAGCCCCCAUGCGGGGCGAAGGCAUUGAUGCCAGGCUUCCAGGAAAAUCUUCUAAGCUUCAGGUAACACGUGACCGUACCGUAAACCGACACAGGUAGGCAGGGUGAGAAUCCCAAGGCGCUUGAGAGAACUCGGGUGAAGGAACUAGGCAAAAUGGUACCGUAACUUCGGGAGAAGGUACGCCCUUGCUGGUGAAGAGACUUGCUCUUGGAGCUGGUGGGGGUUGCAGUGACCAGGUGGCUGCGACUGUUUAUUAAAAACACAGCACUCUGCAAACACGUAAGUGGACGUAUAGGGUGUGACGCCUGCCCGGUGCCGGAAGGUUAAGUGAUGGGGUUAGCUUCGGCGAAGCUCUUGAUCGAAGCCCCGGUAAACGGCGGCCGUAACUAUAACGGUCCUAAGGUAGCGAAAUUCCUUGUCGGGUAAGUUCCGACCUGCACGAAUGGCGUAACGAUGGCCACACUGUCUCCACCCGAGACUCAGUGAAAUUGAAAUCGCUGUGAAGAUGCAGCGUACCCGCGGCUAGACGGAAAGACCCCGUGAACCUUUACUAUAGCUUCACACUGAACUUCGGCUAUUCCUGUGUAGGAUAGGUGGGAGGCUUUGAAGCGUGGACGCCAGUCUGCGUGGAGCCAACCUUGAAAUACCACCCUGGUGUAAUUGGAGUUCUAACCCAGGCCCGUUAUCCGGGUCGGGGACAAUGUGUGGUGGGUAGUUUGACUGGGGCGGUCUCCUCCCAAAGAGUAACGGAGGAGCACGAAGGUACCCUCAGCACGGUCGGACAUCGUGCACUGAGUGCAAAGGCACAAGGGUGCUUGACUGCGAGAUCGACGGAUCGAGCAGGUGCGAAAGCAGGUCUUAGUGAUCCGGUGGUUCUGUAUGGAAGGGCCAUCGCUCAACGGAUAAAAGGUACUCCGGGGAUAACAGGCUGAUACCGCCCAAGAGUUCAUAUCGACGGCGGUGUUUGGCACCUCGAUGUCGGCUCAUCACAUCCUGGGGCUGUAGCCGGUCCCAAGGGUAUGGCUGUUCGCCAUUUAAAGUGGUACGCGAGCUGGGUUUAGAACGUCGUGAGACAGUUCGGUCCCUAUCUGCCGUGGGCGUUUGAAACUUGAGGGAAUCUGCUCCUAGUACGAGAGGACCGGAGUGGACGAUCCGCUGGUGUUCCGGUUGUAUCGCCAGAUGCAUUGCCGGGUAGCUAUGAUCGGUCGGGAUAACCGCUGAAAGCAUCUAAGCGGGAAGCCCCUCCCAAGAUUAGGUUUCACUGGACCCUUGAGGUCCCUGUAGGGCCCUGGAAGACGACCAGGUUGAUAGGCUGGGUGUGGAAGUGCGGUAACGCAUGAAGCUAACCAGUACUAAUUGCCCGUGAGGCUUGGUCAU